rnacentral:lncRNA from 12 species
GGUUAAGUAGGAUUAGUAUCAAAUCCCUAUUAUAUUUGCCAAGCAACUUGAAUUUGUCAAAAUUCCCCCUCGCUGUUCUGGAGCUCCGUGAGGAGGAAAUUUUGCUCACAGUGUAAGAUCCAGGCAUGCCAGUACGUAGGAAUACCAGCGUACUGCAUUACAUUGGCUCCCUGCACUGGAAAGACAACUGCGAGCAGCUCCCGCUGUUCCUCUCCCUUUGUGUUUUUAAACGCAGCCAGGAAAGUUAAUGUAUUCGCCAGGGAAGGGGCGGGAUGAGAGCGUUUUUCACCUCCCCGCCAUAAACUUUAAUCGGAUUCCGGGCUGUUGCACGGCAUGGACGCUCUCCUUCUUGCCUGCGUCUCCUUCCCCGUUGUUUCUACUACGGUCUGCUUGCGAGUGCCUCUUUCAAGCGGAUGAGUGAUUUCUUUCUCUUGCCAUGUGCAAUUGCUCCCCCUUCCCUUGCUACCCUCCCUGGCCUCUCUUACACACACUAUGCCUUUCACACGCGCUCUGCGCCCCCCAGCCCCCCCCCUUUCUUUCUUUUUUGCAGUGUCUUCACAUGCAAUCUCUCUCUGAAUGUGCAAUGUCUUUCCUGCUCGGGAGUGCUGCGUCCUUCACAGUGGAUUGGUUCCUCUUUCGGAGCAGAGGUAACGGCCCCCCCUUUUCUAUCACUCUCCCUUCCUCCCUCCCCUCCUCCCCUCCUCCCCCAGGGCAGGCGGCCGGCGUGGGAAAUGGGCCCGACGUGCGCUGCAUGGUGGAUGGCCGCGCUGCUGCCGCUCCACGUGCCCCGGCUGCCGGGGGGAGGACGGGGCUGCGCUGCCGCCUGUGCCCCCCCGCAUCCCGCUCCUUCCAGCGGGGACACAGUGCAGUUACCCCGCACCCUCUCUCCGCCUCCCCGGCACCCAGGGCUCCUGUCCCGUGCGCCCGCAGCCUCCCGGGUGCCGGCAGGAAGGGGCCCGGCUGUUUCAGGCGGGGCAGGUUUGUCCCUCUCGGGCAAAUCUGUUGCGCAGUGUAACUCCCCCCAGCGCCCCCCCUCUCCCAUGCACACAGACGCCCACACGCGCUCAGACACGACGCGGCAUUUGUCCUCCUGAUCUGCUGAGAUCAAGUGGGAAGAGGGAUCGCAAAUGUAAUCGUCUGUAAUAAAUAAAAUAGCCCGAGAUGCUGGUGAUAUACAGAGGGGAAAUAGGAGCUUGUGUCCUUAAAGGGAACAUCUGAUAAGGCCACCGAAGUGGCAUCUUGCGUGUGGGAAGGAAUCCGUCUUGCUGACAAUCUCAGCCUGCUGUACGUGGGGAAAACCUAAAGCAGCCUGGGAGCUUCCCCGGCUCUCUGCACCCCCCAAGCUCCCGAAGCUCUGCGCUGGGGCUUUGUUGUCGCUGUUGUAGUUGUUGAUUGGAAAGACAGGGGUCGUCGUUAAAAUAUGCAGAUAUAAUUAGCGGCUGCUUUAUCUUCAUGUGCUGGCUGAGCCCGGCUUCUGCCGCCGGCAGCCGAGCUCGCGUCCGCAGUCGGCGCUUUCAGCCCGCGACAAUUUGGUUCUCACAGUUUAGGAAUGUCAGUGGCUCUCACUGGAAAAUUACUUCUGGGAUCUGCAGUGGGAAUCAGUCUCUGGUGAAAGACAGAUAAUGUACAUAUCCAUACCACUGUAUACAUUAACAAAUACUUACUGCAUAUAGCUGUUAGUAUUCAUAAACGAAAAAGAAGCCCCAAAAAGGAAAAAAAAUAAUAUUGCCUUGAAAAUAACGUAUUCAUAAUAAUAUGUGGAAAAGAUUAAAUACAGUAAACAUGACAGAAAAUUCGAAAGCAGGGUAAAAACAAGGACAGAACCCCCACAUGAAGCAGCUAAAGCCAUUUGACGGAAAGGCGAAACUAACUCAAGAACUCCACCAAGGGACAAGCAGCUGAAAUGACACCAGAGCCGCACGGAGCCCGCGGUGACCUUUCAUCUCUCCAAAGUGUCUUGCUGAUCUGGUGCAAUUCUGUUGUGACCCCUUCACUCCCUUCCCUACCACAAGUGCCCUCUGGCCGGCUCGGAGCUGCCCGGGCUCCUCGCAGUCAAUGCAGUGGGAGGCCGCCUGAGUUACAGCGAGUGCUGACACUUGGCCAGUGUCUUUCACAGCUUCGCUAAUAUGCUUGCUGUGUAGUAGCAUGUAAUAGGCAGCAGCGAUUAAAUUAUUCAUUGCAGCAACAGCCUUUCUGAUGGACGUUAAAACGUUAGAGUUUAAAUAAGAAAACCACAGAUUUACUUUUAAGCAGAUAAAACCCACAUCUGUGCUUAUUUAACUGCAUGCUAGCUAAGCAUGAAACCAGUUACUUUGUUUAAAUCCUUUCUCCUUUGCUCUUUUUGAGAAUUUUGAGCUAGAUUAUGCACCAUAAAAG